rnacentral:lncRNA from 10 species
CUUCAAAGGGAACAUGCUGUUUGGUCACACUCAUGAAGGAUGAUGAGGUGUUCAAGGCACAGGAGGUGAAGGAGGCAGAAGAUACAUUGUAUAAAAAGCCAUGAAGACAUGAAACUGCAUGAUAUAUAUAAAGAACUGAAAGGAGUCUUGUUUGGCUAGAGCAAGGGGCCACAUACUCACAUGCCUACCAGGCUAGGCAAAUCAUGUAAAUGUACUAUUCAUUCAAAAGAAAGGAACAAACUACUGUUACAUGAAGUAAUAUGGAUGAUCUCAAAACUGUUAGGAAAUUCUACUCCUAGGUAUCAACCCCAGAGAAAUGAAAACGUGUGUCUACACUAAAGUCUUUUACCUGAAUGUUCAUAACAGCUUUACUCAUAAUACCACCAAAGUAAAUAUAACUCAAUAUGCAUCAACAGAU